rnacentral:rRNA from 1 species
UACGUUAACGAACGAGACCUUAACCUGCUAAAUAGCCAGGCUAGCUUUGGCUGGUCGCCGGCUCCUUAGAGGGACUAUCGACGUUUAGUCGAUGGAAGUUUGAGGCAAUAACAGGUCUGUGAUGCCCUUAGAUGUCCUGGGCCGCACGCGCGCUACACUGACAGAGCCAGCGAGUUCUUUUCCUUGGCCGGAAGGCCUGGGUAAUCUUGUGGAACUCUGUCGUGAUGGGGAUAGAGCAUUGCAAUUAUUGCUCUUCAACGAGGAAUACCUAGUAAGCGUGAGUCAUCAGCUCGCGUUGAUUACGUCCCUGCCCUUUGUACACACCGCCCGUCGCUAAUACCGAUUGAAUGGCUGG